ACACAUGCAAGUCGAGGGGCAGCACAUGCGUAGCAAUACAAUGGUGGCGACCGGCGCACGGGUGAGUAACACGUAUGCAACCUACCUGUAAGUGGGGAAUAACCCGGAGAAAUCCGGACUAAUACCGCAUAAUACUUUUGAACUGCAUGGUUUAAAAGUUAAACAUUUAUGGCUUACAGAUGGGCAUGCGUAUGAUUAGUUAGUUGGUGAGGUAACGGCUCACCAAGACAUCGAUCAUUAGGGGUUCUGAGAGGAAGGUCCCCCACACUGGUACUGAGACACGGACCAGACUCCUACGGGAGGCAGCAGUGAGGAAUAUUGGUCAAUGGGCGAGAGCCUGAACCAGCCAAGUCGCGUGAAGGAAGACGGUUCUAUGGAUUGUAAACUUCUUUUGUAAGGGAAUAAAAAAGAGUACGUGUACUUUCUUGUAUGUACUUUACGAAUAAGGAUCGGCUAACUCCGUGCCAGCAGCCGCGGUAAUACGGAGGAUCCAAGCGUUAUCCGGAAUUAUUGGGCGUAAAGGGCAUCUAGGCGGUCAAUCAAGUCGAAGGUGAAAACUUGUGGCUCAACCAUAAGCUUGCCUACGAAACUGAUUAACUAGAGUACUGGAGAGGUGGACGGAACUACACGAGUAGAGGUGAAAUUCGUAGAUAUGUGUAGGAAUGCCGAUGAUGAAGAUAGUUCACUGGACAGAAACUGACGCUGAAGUGCGAAAGCUAGGGGAGCAAACAGGAUUAGAUACCCUGGUAGUCCUAGCUGUAAACGAUGAUCACUGGGUGUGGGCAGGAAGACUGUCUGUGCCGAAGCUAACGCGAUAAGUGAUCCGCCUGGGGAGUACGACCGCAAGGUUGAAACUCAAAGGAAUUGACGGGGACCCGCACAAGCGGUGGAGCAUGUGGUUUAAUUCGAUGAUACGCGAGGAACCUUACCUGGGCUAGAAUGCAUUUUGACCGUGAGUGAAAGCUCAUUUUGUAGCAAUACACAAUUUUGUAAGGGCUGCAUGGCUGUCGUCAGCCUCG
rnacentral:rRNA from 1 species